UAGUACUGGGACUCUAACCAUAGGCCAUGAAUCUGGUCUUGGGACACUGUCAGGUGGGCAGUUUGACUGGGGCGGUCGCCUCCCAAAAGGUAACGGAGGCGCUCAAAGGUUCUCUCAGUACGGUCGGAAAUCGUACGUAGAGUGUAAAGGCAAAAGAGAGCUUGAUUGCAAGACAUACAGGUCGAGCAAGGAUGAAAAUCGGACUUAGUGAUCCGGUGGUUCUGCGUGGAAGGGCCAUCGCUCAACGGAUAAAAGCUACCCUGGGGAUAACAGGCUUAUCUCCCCCAAGAGUCCACAUCGACGGGGAGGUUUGGCACCUCGAUGUCGGCUCAUCACAUCCUGGGGCUGUAGUAGGUCCCAAGGGUUGGGCUGUUCGCCCAUUAAAGUGGUACGCGAGCUGGGUUCAGAACGUCGUGAGACAGUUCGGUCCCUAUCCGUCGCAGGCGUAGGAAAUUUGAGAAGACCUGUCCUUAGUACGAGAGGACCGGGAUGGACG
rnacentral:rRNA from 1 species